GCGCGGUGUUACUGGGUCCUCUCUCCGCAGUGGACUUUGUGUCUGCGAUUCUGGCGUCGAUACACAAUCGGCAGAUAGAAUGGAAUUUUAUUGGCUUUGUCUUGUUCGCCUGUCCUGGGUUUCUCAUGGUGUGCUCCCUGCUGUGCAGCGUUGUCCUUGCUCAGCUGAUUAAGAGGGCUCGUUGGGAGGCUGCUGUCCGAUUCUCUGCCUGAAACUGGCACAGCCACGCCCACCAUCUUCCUGCUCCAAUCAGAGCCUUGCAUCAAACAGCAAAUGUUAAACUUCAAAUCGCAGCUUUAGAAAUCAAUGCUACUUUUA